rnacentral:rRNA from 1 species
AUUCCAGCUCCAAUAGCGUAUAUUAAAGUUGUUGCGGUUAAAAAGCUCGUAGUUGGAUUUCCGUUGAGGACAGGCGGUCCGCACUAUGUGCGUGUCUCUGUUUUGGCCUCGGCAUCCUCUCGGAAAAAGCUACUGCGCUUGAUUGCGUGGUGUGGAGUUCGAGACUUUUACUUUGAGGAAAUUAGAGUGUUCACGGCAGGCAAUCGCCUUGAAUAUGUUAGCAUGCAAUAAUAAUAUAGGAUCUUGGUUCUAUUGUUGGUUCCUAGAGCUAGGAUAAUGAUUAAUAGGGGCAAUUGGGGGCAUUCGUAUUAACGCGUCAGAGGUGGAAUUUUGGGAUUGCGUUACGACGAACUACUGCGAAAGCAUUUGCCAACGAUGUUUUCAUCA